CCUACGGGUGGCAGCAGUGGGGAAUAUUGGGCAAUGGACGCAAGUCUGACCCAGCAACGCCGCGUGAAGGAAGAAGGCUUUCGGGUUGUAAACUUCUUUUAAGGGGGAAGAGCAGAAGACGGUACCCCUUGAAUAAGCCAUGGCUAACUACGUGCCAGCAGCCGCGGUAAUACGUAGGUGGCAAGCGUUGUCCGGAUUUACUGGGUGUAAAGGGCGUGCAGACGGGAAGUCAAGUCAGAUGUGAAAUCCCGCGGCCCAACCGCGGAACUGCAUUUGAAACUGUUUUUCUUGAGUAUAGUAGAGGUAAGCGGAAUUCCUAGUGUAGCGGUGAAAUGCGUAGAUAUUAGGAAGAACACCGAUGGCGAAGGCAGAUUACUAAACUACAACUGACAGUGAGGCGCGAAAGCGUGGGGAGCAAACAGGAUUAGAUACCCUUGUAGUC
rnacentral:rRNA from 1 species